ACCCACUCCUUGCCAGUUGUGGUGAUCUCCAACAUCUGUCAGAUGCCAAAUGCCUGGGCGUCCAUCCUGUGGUACAACAUGCUGACCAACAAUCCCAAGAAUGUAAACUUUUUUACCAAGCCCCCAAUUGGAACCUGGGAUCAAGUGGCCGAGGUCCUGAGCUGGCAGUUCUCCUCCACCACCAAGCGAGGACUGAGCAUCGAGCAGCUGACUACACUGGCAGAGAAACUCUUGGGACCUGGUGUGAAUUAUUCAGGGUGUCAGAUCACAUGGGCUAAAUUUUGCAAAGUAAGCAAUCUUGUUAAAUUCUCGUGGGAAUGGGAAUGCUCACCUGCACGGCUGUCGUUGAGGGCUCUGGCUUGAAGGCCCUGAACUCUUGGUCCAGCGGCCAGUAGGACCUGCCUGAAGGUAGACGGGCCUGAGGAUUUGGGUGAUGCACUGCACCCCUAGGAAGGGAAGGGCUGGGAUGGCAGUAGACUUGGCUUUCCCAUUACUCUUUUCUCCAGGAAAACAUGGCUGGCAAGGGCUUCUCCUUCUGGGUCUGGCUGGACAAUAUCAUUGACCUUGUGAAAAAGUACAUCCUGGCCCUUUGGAACGAAGGGUAGGUUGGACAGAGUGUGCACAGAUGUAACCAAGUCCCCUGCUCUCAGCAAGCCAGUGGCAGGGGAUGGAUGCCCUGUUAGCAAUAACAACAUUGUUCCUCCUCCUUGGCUCCAGGUACAUCAUGGGCUUUAUCAGUAAGGAGCGGGAGCGGGCCAUCUUGAGCACUAAGCCUCCAGGCACCUUCCUGCUAAGAUUCAGUGAAAGCAGCAAAGAAGGAGGCGUC
rnacentral:lncRNA from 1 species